AGGUGUGGUGAUUGAUGAAGAUGAUAGAAAAUCUUUCCACCAGUGUCAAAAAUGCAAUGAGGAUGGUUGUUCGUUUAAUGUAUGUUCAAAAAAGUUACACACUAUACUUUGUGAAAAUGAACUGCAAAUUGAAGUAACUACACAAAGUACACCAGACAGCCACACUGCAGAUACUGAUAAUUUGAAAACUACAUUUGAUGAACCACUUGAUUUUACUACAAUGAUUCUUAUCUCAAUUACUCCAAAAGUUUCAGAUUCGAGUACUUAUACCAGCAUAAUUGUUUCCUUAUUUAUUAUCUUCGUUCUGAGCUUUGGAAUUAUCAUUUUCAUAUACAUAAGAAGUAGAAAAACAAGACUCAAAACAAUAAGAGGCAUAUUCCAAAAAUCAAAGGUUAUAUACAUAAAUAAUGCGCAGCAGAAUGACCAAAAUGUUACGGACAUGAAUUAUUUUGUACUCGAACCUACAUCAAAUUUGUCGUGCAAUGUCGCUGACAUUGAAGGAGACAUAUCUAAUCCUAUACGGAAACACAGGAAGGAACGUAUGAUCAUCUGCAUGGCAACGAUAGAAGAGUAAUGAAAGACGAAAAGACAUAUGACUCCGCAGCAUUUGGUAUAGAAUAUGGAAGCUAUGGAAUUGGAAAAAAUACAGAAAACAUCGAUGAUACAUACGGCCAUGCUGGAAUUUCCUCUGAUUAUGGACACAUUAAUACAAAUAUACAUGUAGAACAAAGUGGCGAAUACGACAAAGUCAUAAGCUUUUUUUCCUGAUACAAAGGAAAUAAGUGUAUUAAUUUAUUAAAUAUUGGAGGAUAAUUAGAAACUAUUUAAAUAAUGAAUACAAUAACGCCACUUCCAGAAUACAUUACACUGAACUACAGGUACACACGGACAGUUUACUAAAAAUAACGUAGAAAAGUCGCAAUAAAGUAUUGCGAUUGACAACUGAUCCAAUCUCUGAUGUUUUGGAGGUCUGUGUUUGCUCUGUUCCUAUUUGUAUUGUUUAAAGGAUUUUUGAUCUUGAAUACUAUUCUUUAUAUCCAUGUGUUUCAUUCGAAAACGCGACCUUUCGAUCAAGAAAAUGAGAUGCCAAGGCGGCUAGCAUAUCUAUGUACAUGUAUACGGAAUAUAAUAGAUAAUGAUAUAAUAGAUCCUUUCUUUACUCCUGGAGAUCAAACAGUUAAACUGUUUCCAAGAUUGUAAUCAGCAUUGAGUCCUCUACAAAAAUUGUAAAAUACAUUGCCCUGGAGAAAGGCCUUGUCACAAGGAAUUCACAUGUGAAAUAUGAAAGUCAUACUUCCACUAAAUCAAACGUUAUGGGCAAAGUUAGAGUUGUUGCGGGUAUAAGAAAAACAUCCUAACAUUUGUUUUUGUAUAUAAUCAAAACAAGGAA